AUGUAUGUAUGCAGCCAGCUCUGCCCUCCUCAUCGCCUAUUCCUGACUGUGUCCUGGGAAGAGCAGAGCUUUCCCAGCCGGGCUGGAUCCGGAGCUGGACGUGCUCUGCAGCUUACCCAGGCUGGGGAGGAAUCGCACCAAACCGUGCUCGUCCCUGGGCAUUUAGUUUUAUUGCGAGCAUUAGUGGUUUGUGCUCGGCUUGUCUCCUCUGGCAACAGGAGAAGCUGGAAAUGUCAAAGGGGAGGGUUAACAAACUCCGCUGGCAUAAAUUUCAAUGAAUGUAUGUUUCUUAGGAAAACCGCUAAGUUAAAAAAAAAAAAAUUAAAUCUUCCCGUGUGUGUUUUCCUUGGGCUGCUGUUCACAAUGGAUAAUAAUUCUUACAUUAAGCCCCUUCGGCCCUCCAGGGAAAUCAAAAUUGUAAUAUCAGUUUGCUUUUUAUUGGCUCGGCUCUGCGAUCGCGGCGGCUGCGUCUUUGUUAGGGGCUGCGGCGCGGUGACAUUCAGCGGUGCCUCCCGGUGUGUCCCCCUCCGGUGCCUCCGCACCUCCGGGCCCGGGCAGGGCCCCCGAGGGUGCGGGCUGCUGCUGGCCGGGGUCGCGGCGGCCGGGCGAGCCUGCGGGCCGGGCUGGGACCGAGCCCGGGGGAACGAGGAACGUGCUCGGGGGACGGGAGUGCUGCCCUACCCGGGCAAAGGAGCCGCUCCGGGCCCGGUGCCGUUCGAGCUCAGCCCCGCCGCUCCCGGCGAAAGUUGCCGGGAGCCCCACGGGCGGCCCGGCCCCGCGGGGACCAAUCGCCCUAGGCGAGGGCCGGCGGGACGCCGCGGCCCGGCAGAGCCGGGGGGGAAAAGGGGGACGGUGGCACCGAGAUCCCCCGCCCACGCCAGCCCCAGGGACGGCCCCCUUGUCAGCGGGCAAGGAGACUCCGGUUGCUCCGGGGCGCCGGCUCGGGGACACAGCCGGGCACCUGAGAGGACCGAGUCCCGUGAGCCGAGCCCCCCGGGAGGGGUCGAGGGUUCCUCGCCGCCUCGGGUAUCACCCCACGCGUGCCCGCGGCCCCGCCGUCCUGCCCCGGCCGUGCGGCGCCCGGGGCGCUCCCAUAGCGGCGGCGGGAGGCCCGGAGGUGCCGGCCCGCACGGCGGGGGCUGCACGGGGCUCACACCGGGACGGUGUCCGGCCCCGCUCCACCUGUCCGGGGAAAGGUGCCUCCCGCUCCGGCACCGCCACGUUUCCCGGAGCAGCGCAGGGAGCGGCCGGGUGGCCCCGCUGGCAGCCGCGGACACGCGUGUGCUCCAGCCUGCUCCCCGCGAUCCGCUCCACGAGGAGGGAGUGCGCGGAGCCGCCCGCACCGGGCUCCCCGAGCGGCCCCGCCGCCGUGCGCGGCUUCCGGCACCGGGCGGGGAAAGCGCCGCCACCUGCCCCGGGCCCGGGCCCGCUGCCGCCGCCGCUGGGUGUCCCCGGGCCGGGCGCUCCACGGCCGCAGGGACCCGCCGGGCAGCGGGGACAGGGCUUCCCCGGCAGGGUCGGGCCCACGGCUGGCGGCAGCGGCUGGGGCCGUGA
rnacentral:lncRNA from 1 species